rnacentral:rRNA from 1 species
UACGUAGGGGGCUAGCGUUGUCCGGAAUCAUUGGGCGUAAAGCGCGUGUAGGCGGUCCGGUAAGUCCGCUGUGAAAGUCGGGGGCUCAACCCUCGAAUGCCGGUGGAUACUGUCUGGCUAGAGUCCGGGAGGGGCGAGUGGAAUUCCUGGUGUAGCGGUGAAAUGCGCAGAUAUCAGGAGGAACACCAAUGGCGAAGGCAGCUCGCUGGAACGGUACUGACGCUGAGGCGCGAAAGCGUGGGGAGCGAACAGG